rnacentral:snRNA from 1 species
UUCGCUUCUCGGCCUUUUGGCUAAGAUCAAGUGUAGUGUAGUAUCUGUGAUACAUUCAACAUUAAAAAGAAACAUUAUAUGUAUCUAUCUGAAGACAAGAUAUUACUGUUAAUACAAUGGAAAUCAGGGAAUCAUA